rnacentral:misc_RNA from 1 species
GAGGAGAAAAUUAGGAGUGAAGCUCUGUACAAAUGGUUCUUUCUGAAAGUGAAAGGAACUUUGGAUUGAUUCCUCCAUUGCUGAUUUGGUGAUUCCACCAUUGUUGAAGGUCAAGGAAGAGCUUUGACAAAUGAGUUCUUUUUGAAAGUGAAAGAAACUUUGGAUUUGGCUUAUUAAUUGUUUGUAUUUCUUUGGAUUGGAUUUGGAUUGUUUUUAAUCUGACAUGUUCUUGUAGGGCUGACUAAAUUGAGAAACAUGAGAGAGAGAGAGAGAGA